ACGUAGGCAGCGAGCGUUGUUCGGAGUUACUGGGCGUAAAGGGUGUGUAGGCGGUCCUUUAAGUUUGGUGUGAAAUCUCCCGGCUCAACUGGGAGGGUGCGCCGGAUACUGAGGGGCUAGAGUGCGGGAGAGGAGAGUGGAAUUCCUGGUGUAGCGGUGAAAUGCGUAGAUAUCAGGAGGAUCACCGGUGGUGUAAACGGCUCUCUGGACCGCAACUGACGCUGAGACACGAAAGCGUGGGUAGCAAACAGGA
rnacentral:rRNA from 1 species